rnacentral:lncRNA from 1 species
GUAGAUCGGGAGAGAGAGAGAGAGGGCGAUGGCCGAAGAAGAAGGGGAGGAAGGCGGCGGCGUGCGUCGUCGGUGGCGACCGUCGGGGGCGUGGAGCGCUGGUCGACGGAGCGGCGUGCGCUGGCGAGCGCAGCGGCGGCGGCAGCAGCAGCUCCAGCGGCGGCGGAAGAGCGCGAAGGCAGCGGCUUCCAAGCGUGUUUCCGGCCGUUUCCGGCGUUGUUGGCGGCCGAGUUGGGUGGCGAUCGGCUCCUCUGGGCGAGAGCUUUCUUUUGGCAGCAGCGGCGACGCCUGUGGUGGCCGGAGACGGAAGAUCCGGUGGAGAGAGA